rnacentral:rRNA from 1 species
GAUGAACGCUGGCGGCGUGCCUAAUACAUGCAAGUCGAGCGAACAGAUGAGGAGCUUGCUCCUCUGACGUUAGCGGCGGACGGGUGAGUAACACGUGGAUAACCUACCUAUAAGACUGGGAUAACUUCGGGAAACCGGAGCUAAUACCGGAUAAUAUAUUGAACCGCAUGGUUCAAUAGUGAAAGACGGUUUUGCUGUCACUUAUAGAUGGAUCCGCGCCGCAUUAGCUAGUUGGUAAGGUAACGGCUUACCAAGGCAACGAUGCGUAGCCGACCUGAGAGGGUGAUCGGCCGCACUGGAACUGAGACACGGUCCAGACUCCUACGGGAGGCAGCAGUAGGGAAUCUUCCGCAAUGGGCGAAAGCCUGACGGAGCAACGCCGCGUGAGUGAUGAAGGUCUUCGGAUCGUAAAACUCUGUUAUUAGGGAAGAACAAAUGUGUAAGUAACUAUGCACGUCUUGACGGUACCUAAUCAGAAAGCCACGGCUAACUACGUG